UGAAGAUGUGUGGACUUCAACUCCCAGAAUUCCCCAGCCAGCAUGGGCAUAAAUGUAAAAUUUCCUCGCAAUCUCUUGUGAUGGUAGUGAAUAUGUCUAGCUCAAGGAUGGCAUGUUGCAUAGCUGGAGUUCUCCAGACUUGGCUUGUGGGCUGCAGAUAUUUCACUCCCCUACGAAGGAACAUCAUCAGACUCGACUUCUGCAAAACUCCUUCAUUAAUGAAGUUACCUAAUAGAGCAAUGGACCAUCUGCAACUCAAAGCCAACCUUGGAGAACACUGAUAAUGUAACAUGGAUCUAUUUGUAAAGGCUGGUCUGCUGCAUGGAACCCUCCUGUUGAGUAUCAUGUAUAGGGGAAGGGGAUAUAAGCUACAGGGCCCAAUCUUCUGGCUUGAUGCAUCCUUUGCAAGCUUCUGGAAACGUCUGGCUGGCCACUGUAGGAAGGUGGGUAAGAUGAGUCUUUGGUUUGAAUCAGUAGUUGCAGUGAACUGCAGAAGAUCUCUCAGCCCAAAGUAGAGUAGCUGUACGACAUCUAUAGUCCCAUGCUUGUGUGUAUAGAGGUGAUUCUCUAAGAACGAGUCUCAAGAGCGUCAUCUGAUUAGUGUGCAUACUCAGGGUGGUCCUCAACAGUGCUAGCCAUCACAGCAUUGGCAUUGACAGCAGCUCUGUGGUGACUUAAUUGUUUAACUUGAUCUUUUUCCUCCUUCAGGAAUAGAGGAGCAGAAUGAUGGGGAAGGAUGUAAGACAGCCUUGCAACCUCUGAAAAACAUGGACAUCAAAGAAGACAUGGGCGAAGAAAUUGAUUAACAACAAUGGAGGGCAAAGCAGUAGCAACAUCUCAAGGCUGAUGUUGGCAAGCAGACCCCCUGGGAUCUUCCUCCAGCAAUAGACUAUAGAAAAGGCAGGAGUGACACGCCCAACCCUCUUCCUUGGAGCCUACAGCUUAGAAGUUCUAGCCCCCUUCUUACAGAUUUGUUCCUUCUCCAUAGAACUGGCCUCCCUCACCAUGGUCUUAGAAAGAGGCUGGAAUUCAACUUACUCCUUCCCAUGCCCCAAGCAAGUAAGACUUUGAGAUGUUCAAAGUCCUUCUUCAUCCAACUCGUGCAACGCUAUUUAUUCUCUCCACUGUUCACCUUGCAUGGCAAAAACUGAUCCCUGCCAGCCCAGGGAUCAUAACUGGGAUGCUUGUGGGGAUCCCACAAGGAGGGUGGACAGCAUGAAACAGCUCAGCUCUUUUGACCGUGGUUCUUGGAGCUGCCUGCGAUGUCAUCUUCUACCUGCAAUUUUUUCUCCGUGGGGACUCCUCCAUUGGAUUUUAAGCCAGUGCAUCUGGGAAUGGGUUUUCUUUCUUGCUGAAGAGAUCCUACCUUCCCUUACAAUUCAACCAAGAAGCAAAAAUAGUCUGGGAUUCAGGGCCCGUAAUUAGCAAAGAGAAGAUCUCCGUAUCUCUGGCAUCUUGUGAAAACGUUCCUAAAAACUCUUUCUGAUGGGAUCUUCCAAAAGCUGUUGCCAGCAUAGAGGGCACGAGUGAAGUGGAUGGAUAACCUGAGGCUAUACAUCUUCUUUUAGAGCCAUCACUUAAAACCGUUAAGGCAAACAAGUAAUGGGGUUCUUUAAAAAAAAAAAACCCUCUUAGGAAAAAUAACAAAACUGCCUUGUGGGAUAUGGCCUUUGGACAAGAGGCUCUUGCCAUGCACUAAGGAACUUCAUGUAGAAUGAACAAUCUGAGCUGCAGUUUUUUUAAAAAAAAUUGAAACAGCCACAACAAGCAACAGAGGUGAGAAUCUGUCUUCGGUAGACUUUGCAGAUAGGUUCAUGUUUACCUCAAAGCCGAUCCCAGUUAGUUGAAUGGGGCUUACUUUUAAGUGUGCCUGAGAUUAAAGCCAGAAUACCUUGUCUGCACAUGGUCAGAGGUCUCUGUUUUUUUCCCAAGUCUCAAAAAUGUCAGCCUUUGAUUCUGAGCAAUGAGAACGCCAUCGAAUUUGAAGUCUCCUCUCUGUUUAUGUCACCUGCUGCUGUAAAGAGUAUCUUGAGAUAUUGUAACUGGGAAUUCAGUCAUGUUCAGCAGUUGUUUGACAGGAUAGGGAGCAAAUCUAGAGCCACUAGGAAAACAGUGCAAAGAAAGGCAAAAUUAAAUCCAAACAAACAGAGACUAUGGGAUGAAGCAUAGAGGAACAGUGAAAAUCCUAUAGGAUCUACUUUCUUUGUACUAGAAAUCCCAAGAGCCAUCAACCAGAGCCUGGUGCAAAAGCUACAGAUUUCAGAAUGAAUGUUUUCAGUGUCCAGGAAUUUAAUCCUGAGUUCCAGAGGUCAAAGGACUGCUGUCUUUCCACAUAUGAAUUCUCACUUAGAUGCAUUCAACUGAUUUAAUUUUGGAAGUACAAUUUAGGAAAUGUGGGGAGCAAUUUCAGUUGCUACUAUUUUUAUCCAUUUGGGAGUGUGUAACCCAUACUGGUCUACUGCAGAUCACCAGAGAUCUGCUAGUAGACGCAAAUCUACCUUUAAUCCAACUAUGUGGUAGACAUCUUCUUUGAAUGAUGAAGGUGUUAGGUUCAGACCCUCAGAUUCACUUAAAAGAAUCUUAGGUGGCAAUGGACAAUUGAUUGAAAAGAGGAAUGUCUUCCACCUGCCCAGCUCAGUUCCUGAUGUCUUCAUGAACACAUCUGUGCAGUUUCCUUGGGAAUGUUACAAAACUGGUUUGCCACUGCCUUAUUCCUGGAUGUUUAACUUCCCAGUGUAAUGAAUGGCCCUGGGAUUUCUAGGUAGUCCCCAAGUACUCAGGUCCAGUCCUAGUUAGCCUUUCAAGAUCAGCCAGAGGUUGGUUAAGACAUAUCCCCAGUAGUCAAGGCUAUUUGGGAGCAAGGAGAGAGAGAGAAAUCUUCAAGAGGACUCUAAAAAGCUUGGAUGGUGAAAGAUCAUGAAGCCUACUUCACCAUCUCCUGCACUAGACUUCCUUGUCAUGGCGCAACAGGGUAUGGUGUUACACCAACCAGUAUAACCAUCCAGAUUUUCUUUAGUUUUAAUUUUUUUUCCCUGCUAUCAACCCUGCCAGUUCACCACUGAAUUCCAAAUGGGUUGGGUUUUAGGGUUUUGGAGAAGAUGUGGCCGUUCCAUUUUUCACUAAAAAGAGUGGACUGAAUGGCUAUAUUUGCACAACACACUUCCCAGGAUAGGAGAAGAUUUAGCAACUCUGUUGGCUUAGCUAUUUGUGUGCUGUUGUAGAAACCCAUUUGUUUAUAGUUGGAUAUCGUAUGCAAACUCAGAAAAUCAGCGAAUUCAGUAACCAGAAUAAUUAUGUUGUGUGAAUGCAGUCAACACAUAAAGUUGGUUGUAAUGCUAAUUGGGGAAAAUCCGCAGGCCAGAUAAUUCCCUUUUACAUGGUAGGACAUGCUGAUAGUUUGAACUAUAUAGGAGAUGUUUUUCUUGUUCUUCCAUUUGUAACCUAUAAUAAGAAAGAAGUUUAGAAUUCAGUGCCAAGACAGUAUAGAUUUAGUAUACUCUAUUAAUAUUUGCAAAGAUUGGGUUGGUUGGAGGGAAAUGUUCUUUUGUAGAAUAUUUCAAAGUAAAGUAGAUAAGUAGAAUGGUUCAGAUGAGAGUUGAAAACUAAGAGGAGGCCUAACCUCUGCUGAAGGGUUCUACUUCAGAAAAAAAAUAAAUCACCCUUCCCUGGAAUAUCUUUGCUUUCUAAGUUUAAUGAUCCCCUGUCUUUCUGGGUUUCUCAAAGGGGCUGAAAACUUGUUUUCUAAUGAACUUUAAAAUUUUCUAUUUAAGAAAUUUGAAUCUGGAAAUAUUUGUGCCUUUGAAGAUCUAAUAAACGUUC